AGGGCCUAAGGCAGGCAGGACCAGGGAGAUCUUCAGAGGGGCUGGGGGCAAAGUCCACAGUGCUUGCUUCGCAGCUUUAGGAAUACAUUGUCCAUAGAAGAUGAGGAAUUGAUGGAGGCCCAACAGCUGCAGCUCUCUGUUGGCACUUGGGCAAUUGGGUUUGAAUACCACAGACAGCUGUUUGAAGUGUUUCUGUGCACUGUCCUAGACCCUAACUUUUUACAAUUCUGUCAUUGCCACUGUUCACAAAUGAGUUUUAACUUAAUCCAA